GCAUAAUCAUUUGCCCGUUAAUUGCGAGCUAGAAUGAACGGGUAAACGAAAUAGAACCUGUCUCUAUUAAAAUAAUAUAAAUUAACCUCUAGGUGAAGAGACCUAAAUAAAAUUGAAGGACAAGAAGACCCUAUAGAGCUUUACUCUAGUAAAGUAGUAGCGUAUUUUAUACAGUUCGGUUGGGGCGACCAAGGAAUAUUUAUCAUCCUUCCAUAUUAAGAUUCACAUAUCUCUACAUGUGACCCUAUACAGAUCAAAGGAAUAAGCUACCUUAGGGAUAACAGGCUAAUCCUCCAAUAGAGACCUUAUCAACAGGAGGGAUUGGCACCUC
rnacentral:rRNA from 1 species